GUGUGUGUGUGUGUGUGUGUGUGUGUGUGUGUAUGGACUCAGCAGUCUGUGUGUGUGCAUGGACUCAGACAGACUGCUGAGUCCAGACACACACACACAGACAGACUG